rnacentral:rRNA from 1 species
AUUGAACGCUAGCGGCAGGCUUUACACAUGCAAGUCGAACGAGUGGCGGACGGGUGAGUAAUAUAUGGGAACCUGCCCAAUGGAGGGGGAUAACUACUCGAAACGGUGGCUAAUACCGCAUACUAUUGGAUGUGCCCAUAUCGGAUUAGCUAGUUGGUGGGGUAAUGGCUCACCAAGGCAACGAUCCCUAGCUGGUCUGAGAGGAUGACCAGCCACACUGGAACUGAGACACGGCCCAGACUCCUACGGGAGGCAGCAGUGGGGAAUAGUGGACAAUGGGCGAAAGCCUGAUGCAGCCAUGCCGCGUGUAUGAUGAAGGCCUUCGGGUUGUAAAGUACUUGGGGCGGGGAAGCGGUAUGUGUAGAAGAAGCACCGGCUAACCACGUGCCAGCAGCCGCGGUAAUAC